CUAUAUCGCUCUCUGCUCGCCGGCCGGGCUUCACUUUAUACACGGCGUGCGCGCGCUCGUUAUAUCACAGGCGACGUUGCGUAAAAUGUACGCUGGCACACGCUCGUCUCUUCUGUUACACGGAGAGUAUGUGGCCGCCUUUCGCCCCUCUCCUGGCCCCCUUUUAAACCUAUCCCCCCGUUUCACCAUGCGUUCUGCCCUCCUACGACUCCACUGCUACCUCCUUGUUCCGUCUCUUUACACGCGCCUUAACCAGCACCGCGUGAACGCGAACACGUUCCGAGCUUCUUGUUCUACGUAGCGAAAGUUUGUUUUCAUUUUUAGUCUCCCUCCACCAAAACCGGUGGCCGACCGGCCCGCCAUCGCCACCUGACUUUUCAUCUGGCGUGCGCGCACAUCAAUACGCAGAAUCAUAGCGAACCGUAAGUGACUAUGUGGUUGAGAGGAUCGAGAAUUCGAAAAAAUAGGUGGUCUCUAUCUUUUACAAUUGGUUCUCACUUGGAAAUCGAUGGAAUAGUUUAAUCAAGAAAUCUUUCCCAAUUGAUGGAAAACGAUAUCCGAUGGUAGAUCGUGUUUCGAAACCUCUAUAGAUACCCACACGCGAACGCCUUAUUUUACAACAGAAGGGCGUAAUUAGUAUGUUUGUAUUGAUUAUUCAAUCAGUGGUCAGAUCAUCCAACUAAUAAUUACCUAUUUUAUCUCCAUCCUGUAAAUAAUUGAACACGCCUUAUCUUGGUCGUAGGAGUGACUUAUUCAGCUGUCUCGUUAAAUCAUCCGAGUCCCCAUAUUCUAUAAGGUAUUUGGUAGUGUAUGAAAUGGAAUCGGUGAUACGAAAGACCACCUAUCUCUUGCCACAUAGAUGGGAGCGCGGUAUACUGGAAAGUCAUAAAGUAGCAAAAAAUAAGAACGGCGUAACGAGCACCGUCAAUCGACGCCUUUAUGCGGGAGAACUCUUCCUCCCGUUUUCCCAAUAUACCAUCGCAUUCGUGAGAGCCAACGGGAUGUAUGUAUUGCACGCGCGUUUGCCACAGGGACGAACAGAACACGAUACCUUUCCUGUGAAUCUCGCGCGCGUGGAACGCAGCACGCGUUCGUGUGCACGAUCGGUACCUUCUCGACCUACUUCUCUGAGAAAGGCCCGACCUCGCUUUUCUCUCUGUGCAGCAGAUACGCGCCACUUUUCCUCGCGUCCUCGUGCGUCCUAUGCAGUAUGGCACGCGCAUCAACUUUUCGUGCCCUGGCCAUUCGCUCGCCAGGGCCAGCACUAUCGUAGCAUGCAAUUUCACACUUCUCGAUGAUGACGAAAAUCCGCUAUACAAAUUCAGAUGAUAUUAUAUUCUAUUAUUUGAAUUUGUUCUUUAAGAAUCAAAUUAGAAUUCAAAUUAGAAUCAGGAUAAUUUAAUGUUUAUUCGAUUCGUACAUAGGUGUCUAUUGCUUAGUUUAAAAUAACGGAUUAAAAGGAUUAGAUAAUAAAGGUAAAUACUACUUUGCGACGAUCUACAUUGUGUUAUACCACGCAUAGUGCUCUUCUUACGCGGUACUAUUGACAGAAACUGUUAGAAAGUCUCUUGGGUGAUGCAUAUUCAACCAUAUAUUAGCUCGGCGUGUGCAAGGUUGCAUUAUCGAUCAUAAUUUACGACGCGUGCUGCAUUGUUACGUCAGUGCAGCUCGUUUACGGCCAAUAUUAUCAGGUGGGAGCGAAGACGCAUAAACUUACACGCGUUAUGCCUACGAUCAGCUGAUUUCGCACUUCGUGUCAAUUUCAUAACAAGCAAACAAUCGUUCCAAGUACCUAAAGAGAAAAAAUUCCAGAUGCAUCUGAAACGUCAACUUUUACCACAACAAUUAAAAUGUUAUCCAUCCAAAUAACUGCGAGUGUCGGAUUCGAAAAUCAAGGACGGCUGUUUGGCACGGAUUUCAAGCGGCAUGCUGAUUUACUUUCACGCGGACAAUGAAAUUUCGUUCACGGCCAAUACGCUGUUUAAAUAACAGUAGAGAGUAUCGGCGCAUAUCGAGGAGCGUGGGCAAAGUAGCAACGAUUACUCCGAUGGUAUUGAAGAACCAUGAUUCCGGGUAAUCAUACCGGCACGCGCGUUCUAUUUUGCAAUUCCAUACCGUCACGUCGGCGUGUGCAACUUAUUAAAAGUCGACACGUCUCGCGCGUACUACGCGCCCAUUUCGAGGGGAACCUUGCGAGCGAUCGUACGCGAUGCAUAAGUAUUGCACCGGGUGGCAUAGAGUUGUUCUAAUAUCCAAGGUAAUUGUACUCAGACGUGCUAAUGAUUGCGACACAGUCGCAAUCGCCGUAAACCAAAUCAGAAGGAGCGUAAGAGGGAGGGGGAAAGCAAGUAGAAAGAGAUUUGUAUAGUACGCGCCGGACAGAGAGAAGGCGUUGCAUUGUAAACUCUAUGACCGACUUUACAAGCGAUCGACUAGGAUACAGUGCCUCCAACGGUCGAUCGGCGCAACUAACCGCCAUGUUGUUUCCAAACCCGAAAUCAAGUUCGCACCACUCUUUACAAAGAGAAAGUUUCCAACUGCCGAAUAGGAUCUAUGGACAGCUACAGCGACGGAGGCCAGCCGGCCGGCCUAUGACUAUAAGUUAAUACUUAUGUAGAGUGGCCAUCCGUGAUCCAUCUUGCGUAACCUAUUUACCGGCAAAGUGGUACAAGCACGUAUGACAUAAUCCCGUGCAACAGAGCACGCACUGUGCACUUUACAUUCCGGUCUGUUCGAAUACUAUUUUAAAUAGCCCAUACUGCGAUUGUGCGACUGCGCGGCAGCUCAAGCCGGCACGCCGCGCCGCACCAGUGCGCGACGUUUAGCAAAUUAAAAAUACACGAAGAAAAUCAGCCCGUGAAACAAGAAGAUACAAUUUUACCAUUAUUAUAUAUCCCAUGGAACCUUUCUUUUACGCCCCACUUGUUUAUUUUAAACAUACUUUUGUUUCCAACAUACUUUUAAAACUAUGCAACAAGAUCUUUGAGAAUCUUGAAGAACUUAACUUCAUAUUCUGAUAUCGAUUAUGUGGAACUUAACUUUAUUCUUAAAUCUAACGACUAUAGUUUUUCAGUCUAAAUAGUGUUUGACACUUAAUUCCAACUACUUCACACUCGGCAAGCUAUUUUUAUAAACAAUUUAAAAAAAUGUACAAUUUAUGUUUGAGACCAGCUUUAUGUAUGUAGAUCUUAAUCGAACGUGCAGAACCUCUCUCGACUAAACUGUAAACAACCAGGAUAUUCGAAACGUGGCUGAUAAAAAUACUAUAUACUCAAUCAAACUCCCUUUACGAUCAGUUUCCCUUGGUCGAGUUCGUAACCUCGAAUCGAACGAGCACGCGACGAAAAGAGGCGAGGUUAGAGAGAUCGAGAGAGAUUGACCACCUGCUGCUGAGCGUGGCCCGAGCAACUAGAGCAAUGAAUUAUAAGCUCGGAUCUCAUCGAGCUGUCGGCAGCUGUUGGACGGACGUUUCUUCUGUAUGGCAGAAAAAUUAAAACGUUCUGGAUUCCCCAGCGCACACAGCGAUUGGUAAACGAAUAUAAGAGAAGGAAAGCAAGAAUGCAUCGAAACUAACAUGCGUAUUUCCAAAAGGGUUAGUGGCUACAAGAUAGCACGAACGAUCGCGUGGAAUGAAGAAAACACCCGCGUGACUACGUCAGACUGCUAGACAAGCCUGUACGCAUACUGACAUUUGUUUACAUCGCGAACGGUUGUUGCGGAUGCGCCUCUAUGUAUGUAUGUAUAUAGAGUCGGGCCAGUUAGGUUUGGUAAGCCUGUGCCGGGAUAUCUAUCUUUGGAUCCACGCACGAAGUGCGCGCACACACUGGCCAUCUCUUACUCAAUCGUCUCACGCCUGUGCCGGUGACCAGUGACACCGUUAAACGCGACCAUUAUUUCGAAUGCGCCCCGCAGGUCGGAUAUUUCCGUGGUGACCGUAGAUAGACCCGAUGGAUCACACCGUUAACGGCGAAACGCACUCCCGCAGUGGAACGCAUUACCACGUAUCCAAUGUUGUGCUAUCUUUUCGUCGCAGUGAAAUGCACGCGUCAGUGAUUCUCAACUUUUAUCGGUUACAGUUGUUUUGUCAUGUUGAUUGAGGAGUGAUUAUGUUGGACAAUUUGACAGAAGAGUAAGCGAGUUUGACGAUUGUGACCGCGAUAAGAGAUACAACGAAAUAGCUGCAAGGAUUUGUAAAGAGGUGAUUUUAUUGCGCGAUCAUGUCGGUUUGGUAGGGUACUUGGAAUCCAGAUAGAGAAAGAUGUGCUAGAAUAAUGUUCAAAAUAUGAACACUACCUUUGAGGUGGAUUUUUAUUUGUAUAUAUACAUGUUUACUGAAAAUAUAAUAAAACUUGGUAUAAAAACUAAAUUACCUUCUAAGUUGAUACUUUUAGGGAUUCACAGCAUGUAAAUUCUAGGAAGCAUUUAGUUAAACACAUAAGAUACAUGUUUAAUUAAUUGCCGAUUAUUUGUAGUAGUACAACUCUGAGCAAAUAAAGCCUUAUAAAUAUUCCGAUAAAUGUCACACUACGCUAAUUUCUUCCUCUUUCUAUGAAAUUGUAAACGAUGAAUUCCUUAUAGUUCUUUAAGUGAAUAGUGAGUACAGCCAUGGACAAUACUUUGAAAAAAUAGGGACUGCAACGAAGUUGACGGUCGAGCGCCAUGGCUAUUGACAUAUUGUCAGGGCUAACAGAAGGCAGGUCGAGGUGUCGAAUCGCGAAGUGGAUGUUACGAAACUGCAUAUGCAAGAUGUUUGCUAAAGCAAAGGUACACGAUAGUCGGCAGAACGCACGGAAGCUUUAAAAUUACCACUUACGCGUGCUUGCGCUAACAGAUAAACGCCGUCCAGUAUUUACCGAUUCACGGUUCGGUAAAUACUUCGACGUCACUAAAAGUCAGCCAUGUACGCUCGCUUAUGUGUUACAUGUAUAAACAGGUAACGACGCGGGGAAGUACUUACGUCAGAGUACUACAUCGGUGGAUUAAUUACGGCGAUUAAAGAUUACAGAUGAUCACAGUGAAUUAAGGAAGACAGGAACACGAAAAACACGCUCUGUUACGUAUAUCUCAUCACGGAUACGAUGAUUAAAAAUAAUCAUAAUUGCGAUCGCGAAGAUUAAGAUGAAUCUCUGAAGUUUACUACUAUCACAUGCCGGCGAUAAUGUGUUCGUUGAAACCAAGACCUGAACGAUUUUCAUUCAGAAUUUAUGCUUUCGUUGAUGUUAAGGAGUAUUACCAUAGGAAAAAGUUCCCUUUUUUUAAACUUCAGUUCUCUCUUGAACGUAGUAAUAAUUACCGUAUAUGUAUGUGCUUCAAAUAAAAAUAAACGUGUGUUGAAAGGUUAUCUAUAUUUAACCCUAUAAUGAGUCUCCCCUUAUUUAAGAGCUACCCGCUUCAUAUUUUCCAUUGUCAGAAUUUUUUUGUACGAAACCACCAAGGGAUAUGUAAAUUUUAAAAAUUUUGAUUUAAUAAAUUACCAAUUUAAUCAAAAUUAAUUAAUUACAUAAAUAAGCUAUAGUACAAUAAAAUUAUCAUUUAGUACCCAAACCGAAAUAUAAAAUUUUCUAACGUAAUUUUGUUUAUGAAUUCUCUAUCAUAAUACACAUACCCUUAAAUGUAUACAAAUUUGACA